rnacentral:lncRNA from 1 species
AUGCACCGCAGAAGGGAAACCCCAAACCGAGGCAAAUCGGAGGUGCCGGCUGGGAAGGUUAAAGCAAGGCAACGUUCACUGGGCGCAGGGGCACGGCUCGGGGAUCCUCCCGGCAGCACCGCCGGCAGAUGGAAGGAGAAAUCCCCCGGCACGCGGCGGCAGCGCCAUCGGGCUGCGCGGCCAGGUGCUAAAAACCCGCUUUUCCCACCCAAAACCCGCGUGCGGGCGCCGAUCCCCGUCCCUCACCCCAAAACUCGGCUCCCGCCCCGCACGGUGAGCGAAGUUCCCCCCGGAUCGGGGAAAAAAAAACCAAAAAAAACCACAAAGAAAAACCCGGCGGAGAAGCACGGCACGGGCCGUGGGGGCUGCGUCCCGCCCCGCUUUUGGGGGCCAAAACCAUGGGCUGAAUGUCUGCGUCAGAGGGGCAGCAAGUGGCAGAAGAUUCCCUUGUUCAGCCUGCCCACGCAGCACACAUCCACUGCUGGUUUGCUGCAAAACCACCUCCUUGAUGUGAAACCACACCGUGCAACAAGACACUUGUUAGCUCAGUCCAGGCUCUUCCUUCCCCUCCAUGCCUUUUGCCCUGCUACUAGCUGGAGAGAGGAAAAAAAAAGAAGGAAAAAAAAAAAAAAGGACUAUUUUUUAACAAAUUAUAAAGGUAACCUCUAAGAAGGAAAGCUUUAAGCUUCCAAAUCUGCUUCCUCGUCUGGAAAAUGGGGUUCAUUUUCCUCACAGGUGUUUUGCACCUCAGCAAGGUUUUCCCCAGCAGGUGCUAUGGAAGGUAAACCAUGAUUUCUCAGGUCUAGCCUGCAACGGGAGCUGGAGAACUGCAACUGAGUGAUGGGUUCUGGCUUACGGUGGUUUUAAGCCUGAUGUCCCCAAGGCCUUAUCUGCCUGCAAGCUGCUUCAUUUCAGUCACUUAAUUCAGAUUAAGGAUGGCUUUUGCAAAACCACAAUGAUCCUAGUUGAAAUAAAUACUCAAAUUCUGCACUAGCGUAAUUCCA